rnacentral:rRNA from 1 species
AUGGUAGGUGAAGAAAACGAGUAUGAUGUUGAAGGAAAUGGGCAUCUCAAUCAGCCCGUCACACGGUUUCACUUCAACACAUUACGUGAUCAUCUACGCCGAGAGUUCAGAAACAGCCUUGACCCAAUUGAAGAGAAGCAAGACAAGUUGUCGAGAGAUUUGCAGCAACUUAUGGGUAAUGUUGAUGAGCAACUCACUCAGAACAUGGCAGCCAUGAGGACUGGUAUUGUUGCUGAUAUUGUGCGAGAGCUUCGUCAGAACCGAGAAGAUGCAAGUGUCCAUGGUGAAGAACAAAAUGUAACUGAUGGGGAAGGUGCUGCCUCCAAUGCACAAGCUAGAAGAAACUAUGCUCCUGCUCCCCAUGCCACGAGACCUCCUGGUCCCGGACGUGGAAAUGAUCAUGGUAAUGGACGUGGUCAUCAUGAAGCUGUUGUUGGUCGUGGUCUUAGAGGAGGCCACUGAAGAGCAAAUCUGCACCAUGAAGGUAGUGGAGAUGAGUUUGAUGAAGAUGAAGAUGGCAUGCACCAGAAUGACAGAUUUCAUCAUCGUAGAAACUAUGGUCGUGGACGGCAGGAGGAGGAGAGGUUU